rnacentral:tRNA from 1 species
UUUUAGAAACAUCAGUGGCCAACAGUCGUCAGGAUUGUUGAGCUGCAUUGGCGGGAUUUCGCCGUCUUCGUUUCUCUUUCUUCGCGGACGAACACGCGCCGGGGCUGCGUUGUGCGAUUGCAUUUGGCGCUAGUCGCCGGUUGCUGCACGCCAAGACCCUAGUCCUUGAUAGGAUAGCGUUAGGGGCUUGUAGCUCAGUUGGUUAGAGCGCGCGCUUGAUAAGCGUGAGGUCGGAAGUUCAAGUCUUCCCAGGCCCACCACUUUCAUCGAGUGAGCAUUCGUCUUCUGGUUACGGGGCCAUAGCUCAGCUGGGAGAGCGCGUGCUUUGCAAGCAUGAGGUCGUCGGUUCGAUCCCGUCUGGCUCCACCAGAUGGUUUGAUCAUCGACUGAUCGUGCACCUAAAUCGUCCGCGAAACAUCACUUCGCACUUGCUAGUCCGGAUGGACAGCAGGCUGCGUGAUUUCUGACAUCGUAAAGAGGAGAUCGAUCCGAGUUGGAUCGUGCAGAAGAUUUCUGCGCGAUACUUCAUUAUCUCCGGAUCAUUCCGGCGCUCACGCGUCCUUCAAGGUCAAUCUUGAAAGACGGGCGAGUUGUAAAUGAUCCUUUUAGCGAAGCUUGACCGCCUCGCUAUCGGAACGAUCUUACGAAGCAAGCUGGUCUUUCUAAUCAUUGUCCCGGCUGCAGAUAGCGUUCAUCGAGGGCGCGUGCCGCAAGGCAGUUCUGCAGACAACAUUCUGCCGAGUGUGUGGACAUUGAUAAUGAGAGCAAUCAAGUGCCUU